rnacentral:rRNA from 1 species
AUAACGACUCUCGGCAACGGAUAUCUCGGCUCUCGCAUCGAUGAARAACGUASCGAAAUGCGAUACUUGGUGUGAAUUGCARAAUCCCGUGAACCAUCGAGUCUUUGAACGCAAGUUGCGCCCCAAGCCUUCUGGCCGAGGGCACGUCUGCCUGGG